AGAGUUUGAUCCUGGCUCAGGACGAACGCUGGCGGCGUGCCUAACACAUGCAAGUCGAGCGGAGACAGUGAGUAGCUUGCUACGAGCUGUUUUAGCGGCGGACGGGUGAGUAACGCGUGAGCAACCUUUCCCAGACAGGGGAAUAACACACCGAAAGGUGUACUAAUACCGCAUAAGACCACGGGAUCACAUGGUUCUGGGGUAAAAGAAUUAUCGGUUUGGGGUGGGCUCGCGUCCGAUUAGGUAGUUGGUGAGGUAACGGCCCACCAAGCCGACGAUCGGUAGCCGACCUGAGAGGGUGAUCGGCCACAUUGGGACUGAGACACGGCCCAAACUCCUACGGGAGGCAGCAGUGGGGAAUAUUGCACAAUGGGGGAAACCCUGAUGCAGCGACGCCGCGUGAGCGAAGAAGUAUUUCGGUAUGUAAAGCUCUAUCAGCAGGGAAGAUAAUGACGGUACCUGACUAAGAAGCCCCGGCUAACUACGUGCCAGCAGCCGCGGUAAUACGUAGGGGGCAAGCGUUGUCCGGAAUAAUUGGGCGUAAAGGGCGCGUAGGCGGCUCGGUAAGUCUGGAGUGAAAGUCCUGCUUUUAAGGUGGGAAUUGCUUUGGAUACUGUCGGGCUUGAGUGCAGGAGAGGUUAGUGGAAUUCCCAGUGUAGCGGUGAAAUGCGUAGAGAUUGGGAGGAACACCAGUGGCGAAGGCGACUAACUGGACUGUAACUGACGCUGAGGCGCGAAAGUGUGGGGAGCAAACAGGAUUAGAUACCCUGGUAGUCCACACUGUAAACGAUGAAUGCUAGGUGUAGGGGGUAUCGACCCCUUCUGUGCCGCAGUCAACACAAUAAGCAUUCCGCCUGGGGAGUACGGCCGCAAGGUUGAAACUCAAAGGAAUUGACGGGGGCCCGCACAAGCA
rnacentral:rRNA from 1 species